AGUGGCGAACGGGUGAGUAACGCGUGGAUGAUCUACCUACGAGAUGGGGAUAACUAUUAGAAAUAGUAGCUAAUACCGAAUAAAGUCAAUUAAUUUGUUAAUUGAUGAAAGGAAGYCUCUAAAGCUUUGCUUGUAGAUGAGUCUGCGUCUUAUUAGUUAGUUGGUAGGGUAAAUGCCUACCAAGGCGAUGAUAAGUAACCGGCCUGAGAGGGUGAACGGUCACACUGGAACUGAGAUACGGUCCAGACUCCUACGGGAGGCAGCAGCUAAGAAUCUUCCGCAAUGGGCGAAAGCCUGACGGAGCGACACUGCGUGAAUGAAGAAGGUCGAAAGAUUGUAAAAUUCUUUUAUAAAUGAGGAAUAAGCUUUGUAGGAAAUGACGAAGUGAUGACGUUAAUUUAUGAAUAAGCCCCGGCUAAUUACGUGCCAGCAGCCGCGGUAAUACGUAAGGGGCGAGCGUUGUUCGGGAUUAUUGGGCGUAAAGGGUGAGUAGGCGGAUAUAUAAGUCUAUGCAUAAAAUACCACAGCUCAACUGUGGAACUAUGUUGGAAACUAUAUGUCUAGAGUCUGAUA
rnacentral:rRNA from 1 species